GGUUCGAUGGCGUAGUUGGUUAUCGCAUCUGUCUAACACCACCCCUGUAGCACACAGAAGGUCCCCGGUUCGAGCCCGGGUCGAAUCA